GAUGAACGCUGGCGGCGUGCCUAAUACAUGCAAGUCGAGCGAACAGACGAGGAGCUUGCUCCUCUGACGUUAGCGGCGGACGGGUGAGUAACACGUGGAUAACCUACCUAUAAGACUGGGAUAACUUCGGGAAACCGGAGCUAAUCCCGGAUAAUAUAUUGAACCGCAUGGUUCAAUAGUGAAAGACGGUUUUGCUGUCACUUAUAGAUGGAUCCGCGCCGCAUUAGCUAGUUGGUAAGGUAACGGCUUACCAAGGCAACGAUGCGUAGCCGACCUGAGAGAGUGAUCGGCCACACUGGAACUGAGACACGGUCCAUACUCCUACGGGAGGCAGCAGUAGGGAAUCUUCCGCAAUGGGCGAAAGCCUGACGGAGCAACGCCGCGUGAGUGAUGAAGGUCUUCGGAUCGUAAAACUCUGUUAUUAGGGAAGAACAAAUGUGUAAGUAACUAUGCACGUCUUGACGGUACCUAAUCAGAAAGCCACGGCUAACUACGUG
rnacentral:rRNA from 1 species